rnacentral:tRNA from 1 species
UAGAUCAAGGCCCGCUGGCUUGGGCGACUAGUUGUUAACUAGUAUGUUGUAGGAUCAAGGCCUGCUGAUUUAG